rnacentral:rRNA from 1 species
UGCCUGGCGGCGAUAGCGCGGUGGUCCCACCUGACCCCAUGCCGAACUCAGCAGUGAAACGCCGUAGCGCCGAUGGUAGUGUGGGGUCUCCCCAUGCGAGAGUAGGGAACUGCCAGGCAU